CUCCCUGACCCUCCUUGAAUACAUAUACGAGGCCACCCCCUAGCCAUCAACCGGAGAGCUCUGGGUCGGAUGCCCCUCCACCACGGACCGGUGCAGAGAGAAAAAAAACCUCCGCCUAAACUGCGUUCUGGAUUCGCUUAGGAUUUGGGGCAUGUUGUUUGGCCACUGGGAUCUCCAUGGUGUGCGUGACGUCCAUGCAUGGGUUGCGAGCGUCGAGAUGGACUCACGGUUGGGCAAUUUCUUGUCAGAAUUUGAUCGUUGUCGCCAUGCCGCUGCACUACGCGGCGAAAGGUUUCGCAACUCCGAGGACCGGUAAGACCCUCUCUGCAUCCUCCGCUUGGUCCUUCUUGUGGCGAUUGAAUUCGUUGGUUUGCGGAUCGGGCAGCGGGGCAUCGGCCAUGGCCUCGCCGGCGAGCAGUGCUGCCAUGGGGUGCCGGUGCGUCUCUGAGGCUCUGGCCGGAGGAGGGAGAGAACCUUGACCGUCGAUUCCCAAUGGACGAUAGGGAUUAGAGCUUGGCAUAUCCCUUCGUACGUGCGAUCCGGGCCGUUGAUCUCGGGAGCAAGGAUCGUGAUCAUGUACUGGUUCGGGUAUGUGGGUCAUUUAAUCAGGACCAUCCAUAUUUGAUCGGGCAGCUCUAGGUCCCCAAUACCUCUUCGUCGUUGCCUUUUUGCUAAAGAGCCCCUGUGGAUCAUACAAAUGAACCCGCAGGGUAGUGUUAAGGUAUUAAACUUAAGUCCUAGCGUUUUCAGAACAGCCCAUGUGCUCUCUGGAUUUUGUUUUCGCCGUCCAAACUCUUUGGGUAUUACAAAAAUAAAAAUCAGAAAUGGAUUUAGGGUAUAAAGAGAUUCAAUAAACUUAGAAAAUCCAUAACUUUUGCGAUCUAACUCUGUUUUAGUCCGUUCUAGUUGCGUUGGCUUUGUAAUAAUAUUUUCAACAUAGUAGCGAACCUUAUUUCGAUAUAUCACAUGCUAUUAUAAUUAGAUAUCCGUUUACCCUUUAAGUAGUAGGUUUAUUUUACUAAUCAAGAUUGACAGGUCUAUAAAUUAUAAUUUGACUAUAAUAUGAUUACUAUUCAAGUUAUAAUUGAGAUUAAAGUUGAGUUAAUUAUUUAUAAAAUAUUCUCUCAUAUGGUGUAUACCAAUCAAUUUAUAAUACAGUUUAAUAUUUAAAUCACAUGGAUCAUCCUUAAAACACAACUCCUUAACCGUAUUCCGAUUUUAGCGAUUCCUGAACCCGCGAUCUCGUUAUGAUGCGUAGAUCAUUAUUAUUUAGUUUGUGCUUCUGUUUGGUGUGAUGUUAAUUUUGCCUAUACCAUGUUUGUUUGGAUUACUACAAAUAGUAGUGAGGUUUCGAGAAUCUGAAGAUCAUCCUGGUACCUGUAAUCUCGAGUCCCAGGCAAGUUGUGCCCUUGAUCACUUUUAUUUAUCCAAUAAUGUUCUAUAUAAUCAUUUUAUCAUGCAUAGGCUUAAUUUUGAUGGGACCCAAUAGUCACCCUAGUUUGGUCAUCUUUACACCUUGUUUACCCCUGAACUUUUGGGUAGUCUUUGCUAUUGCUAUAUAUGGUUUUGGGUGUUGAGAUAACUACUACACAUGCUCAUUCUUUAUUAUUAUUGUUCUAUUUCUGUUCAUGAUAAGAGCAUUAUGUUAAUUGGAACAUCGAGCUUAACUUGAGAAGCACGUGCCGCCACAAGGGUGGAAUGGGACGCCCUUGGCUGACUAAUUAGGAAAGCUAGUGGAGGACUACUUUACCUGAAAGGGGCAAGGGAAGUAGGGGAGUAGGCGUGCAGGGAGGUUCUCGGGUUGAUUUUGCUGCGAUGACGCUCAAACGGGGAUUCCUGCAUUGCUCUUCUUAGAAACUGUAGCAUGUUUUCUGAAGCUAGUGGAACUUUGUAAAGGACUCGUAGUGUUACCUUGCCUCACUUCCUUGGUAGAGGUGUAUGGGGCCCAUACAACCCCGUGGCAGAUGGGUAACAUGACUUGUUGGUAAAGGGUACCACCUCUGCGAAGUGUAAAACUGGUAUACUAGACGUGCUCGCGGUCAUGAGCAACUCAGGACUCUCACAUGAUUAAUUUAUAGAAUUAAAUUCAAUUUGUCAUUUGCAUCACAUUGUGGUUUAUUAUUAAUUUUGAUCUAUUAUUACUUUUUUGGUAUCUAUAUACACUUAGUAACUGCAAAUAAAAUUUUGACCAACUUUAAAAGCAAUGCUUAGCUUCAAUCAUCCUCUUUGGUAAGCCUUACACUUCACAUGAGCUCCCACCUUUGGCGGGUUCAUGCACAUUAUUCCCCACAACUUGUUGAGCGAUGAACGUAUGUGAGCUCACCCUUGUUGUCUCACACCCCCAUAGGUCAAGAACAAGUACCGCAUGAUGAGGCGCAUGGUGAAUGUUGUGAUGAGUUCGUGAGAGGUCUAGGCCGUCGUCUCCCAGACAACUUUGGGUUGCUGGAUCAUUGUCUUCAUAUGAUGUAAUUAUUUAUUUAUUUUGUACAUAACUCCUAUUAUAUAGUAAAGAUGUGACAUUCGUUUCUGUAUCAUGGGUCAUCAUAUGUGUGAGACUUGGUCCCAGCACACUUGGUGAUUACGUUCGCGACCAGGUCUU
rnacentral:lncRNA from 1 species